AACGAACAUCGACCGCAGCGGGCAGGAGUGGGGGACCCACAUUUCGGGCGCCGCAAGCGGCGUCCUUGGGGUAAAGCCGGUGCGUCCCGGCCCAUGGUGGAGAGCGGUUCCCACCCGGGGUCGGAUCCUCCGGCCGGGCCAUCCCAGCCCGCACCCGACAGCUCACCCCGCAGGCGACGGGAUUGGACUG
rnacentral:sRNA from 2 species